rnacentral:rRNA from 1 species
AUUGAACGCUGGCGGCAUGCCUUACACAUGCAAGUCGAACGGCAGCGGGCCUUCGGGUGCCGGCGAGUGGCGAACGGGUGAGUAAUGCAUCGGAACGUGCCAUUGAGUGGGGGAUAACGUAGCGAAAGUUACGCUAAUACCGCAUAUUCUGUGAGCAGGAAAGCAGGGGACCGCAAGGCCUUGCGCUCUUUGAGCGGCCGAUGUCAGAUUAGCUAGUUGGUGAGGUAAAGGCUUACCAAGGCGACGAUCUGUAGCGGGUCUGAGAGGAUGAUCCGCCACACUGGAACUGAGACACGGUCCAGACUCCUACGGGAGGCAGCAGUGGGGAAUUUUGGACAAUGGGCGCAAGCCUGAUCCAGCCAUGCCGCGUGAGUGAAGAAGGCCUCGGUUGUAAGACUCUUCGCGGAGAAUACGCAUGGGUUAAGUACCCUCGUGUGGAUGAC